UCGGACAUGGUGCAAUGGAUAGCACAGCUUCGGAUAUCGCCCUGAUGGUCCGGGACGGAAGCAGACCGAGGUUCAAUUCCUCGUGUCCUCC